GUAGGUGGCAAGCGUUGUCCGGAAUUAUUGGGCGUAAAGCGCGCGCAGGCGGUUCUUAAAGUCUGAUGUGAAAGCCCACGGCUCAACCGUGGAGGGUCAUUGGAAACUGGAGAACUUGAGUACAGAAGAGGAAAGCGGAAUUCCACGUGUAGCGGUGAAAUGCGUAGAGAUGUGGAGGAACACCAGUGGCGAAGGCGGCUUUCUGGUCUGUAACUGACGCUGAGGCGCGAAAGCGUGGGGGGAGCAAACAGGAUUAGAUACCCUGGUAGUCCACGCCGUAAACGAUGAGUGCUAAGUGUUAGGGGGUUUUCCGCCCCUUAGUGCUGCAGCUAACGCAUUAAGCACUCCGCCCUGGGAGUACGGCCGCAAGGCUG
rnacentral:rRNA from 1 species